AUUCAUAUAGUUUAAAUUUAUAAAAUAUUAAUUUGUGGUAUUAAAGAUAUUAACAAUUUUGAAUU
rnacentral:tRNA from 1 species